GAUGAACGCUAGCUACAGGCUUAACACAUGCAAGUCGAGGGGAAACGGCAUCGAAAUCUUGCUUUUGAUGUGCGUCGACCGGCGCACGGGAGAGUAACGCGUAUCCAACCUGCCCAUCACUUGGGAAUAACCUUGCGAAAGUAAGACUAAUGCCCAAUGACAUCCCACGAAGGCAUCCGUAUGGGAUUAAAGUUUUAUCGGUGAUGGAUGGGGAUGCGUUUGAUUAGCUUGUUGGCGGGGUGACGGCCCACCAAGGCAACGAUCAGUAGGGGUUCUGAGAGUCGGGUCCACCAGAUCGGAGCUGAGGCACGGUCCAAACUCCUACGGGAGGGAAGAGUGUGGUAUAUUAGUCAAUGGGCGAGAGCCUGAACCAGCCGAGUAGGGUGCGGAGUGACGGGCCUCUGGGUUGUAUACUGCUUUUAUAGGGGAAUAAAGUAAGUCACGUGGGACUUUUUGAAUGUACCUUAUGAAUAAGGACCGGCUAAUUCCGUG
rnacentral:rRNA from 1 species